rnacentral:rRNA from 1 species
GACGAACGCUGGCGGCGUGCUUAACACAUGCAAGUCGAACGGUGAACCGGGCUUCGGCCCGGGGAUCAGUGGCGAACGGGUGCGUAACACGUGGGCAACCUGCCCCAGACACUGGGAUAACCCCGGGAAACCGGGGCUAAUACCGGAUACUCUCGACCGACCUCAUGAUCGGCCGAGGAAAGCUCCGGCGGUCUGGGAUGGGCCCGCGGCCUAUCAGCUUGUUGGUGGGGUAACGGCCUACCAAGGCGACGACGGGAGCUGGUCUGAGAGGACGGCCAGCCACACUGGAACUGAGACACGGUCCAGACUCCUACGGGAGGCAGCAGUGGGGAAUAUUGCGCAAUGGGCGAAAGCCUGACGCAGCGACGCCGCGUGGGGGAUGAAGGCC